rnacentral:piRNA from 2 species
AUAAGAUACUAAGGUGCUUAAGAA